GGGUCAGAGAAAUAAAGGGAGCUGCCCUUUUGGGCAGCGUGAAAGUGGAAAGGCAGAAGCAGGAAAUAAUGAGAAGUGGGGAAAAUAAUAGAACAAAGGUGAGGAAGGAGACACGGGACCCAGGGAGGACAGCACGUGAAAGGAUCCAAGAGAGAGACUGGUGAGCAGCUGGCGUGGGAAAGUCAGAAAGGAGAGACAAACCAGCGGAAAAAUAAGGGAAUAAAGAAACAGAAAGGACUGCAUAGGGGGUCUUGGAGGGGGAGAAAGGAGCUGCCCUUUGGGCAGCUCGCACAGAAGCAGGAAGGGAGAUGGAGCUGCCUUUGGCAGCACGGGGUCAGAGAGGAUAGAGAGACGUGAGGAGACUGACAGAAGCAAGAAAACUAGACGGGAAAAGAAGAAACGCUGCCUUUAGCAGCAAAAAGGAGAGGACAGCAGUGGGCUGUCUUGGAGCCCAGAGGAGUGCGCAGGGUGCGCAGAAAAUAAAAGAAGAAACGCUGCCUUUAGCAGCAAAAAGGAGAGAAGCAGGAGAGAGGUCAGAGGGCAGGACAGGCGGUGUGAAAGAAGACAAGGCAGAAACAAGAAGGCAGGCGUGGGGGGAAUCACGGGAAGCUGCCCGAGGACUGCGCAGAGGAGAAGGAAGGCACGGACUAGAGAGGUGAGCACGGGGGAAGCUGCCCUUGCAGCUGAGACUGACGCAAGGAAGACUGACGCGGGCAGGGGGAGAGAG
rnacentral:lncRNA from 1 species